CGAAGCAAAUAAAAAGUAAUCAAAAUCCCGCUCACUCCUAAAAACUGAUUUUUGGUUAGCCGCUCAUUACUCCCUCUUCUUCUCAUCUCCGUCGUGCACUCUAAAUCCCCCAAAUAAAAGUUUAUUUUUCUUCAGCUGAAAUCCCCCAAAUAGAAAUCGGACCGAGCAGCUUAGCAUCAAGGAAGAAGAAGAGUCCAAAAAACACAGGCAGCUAAGUUGCCCUUAUGGCUUGUGAAGCGAGUAUUUUUGGCAUCGAUUGGGUUUAAUGUAGACUGAAAUUUUGUAAUCUCUUCUUUUCUAAUGCUGAUCAAAGAGUAGAGAAAGGGGAAGGAAAUUUUAUUUUCAUCAUUUCUUCUUCUUUGUGCCAGAAUCAACAAUUCAAGAGAGGCUUGCUGAGAACAUCCAAGAUGCUUAUGCUGAGGCAGCUAGCAUUGCUAAACAGCUAUGAUUUUGAUGGGCAGCCUCCAGAUUUGAAAAAACAAGAGCUUGCUAAGCGUUACUCAAAGAGGGCAGAUGCUACUGAGGAUUUGCAAGAAGCCAUGGAGGUAUUUUUCCUACGGAAAAUUAAGGUGCUGUUGUUUUUAUUAUUAGAUUGGAAAUAAGGAGGACAUUGAAAAAUUAAAUAUGUAGCCAAAAUUUUGUCAACUGUCAGUAGUAGAUACUCGUAGAGUUCAAUCAAUUCAACGCUGCAAGAAAAUGGAAGCGUAUGUAUAAUAACCGUAUUUGUAGUACUAAUUUUUGUUAUAUAAUAAUGAAAGGAACAUAUGUUCUUUUCCCGUAUAAUGAAA